AAGUCGUAACAAGGUUUCCGUAGGUGAACCUGCGGAAGGAUCAUUACCUAAAUUUACGGGGGCCGUUGCUUCACAGCUUCCGCCCUGUCUGAAGCCCUUGUCUUUUGCGUACUUAUUGUCUCCUCGGCGGCCUAAACCCCGCCAGCAGGACACUAUACAACCCUUUGUAAUUGCAAUCAGCGUCAGAAAAAACAUAAUAAUUACAA
rnacentral:misc_RNA from 1 species